rnacentral:rRNA from 1 species
UGAGGAAUAUUGGUCAAUGGGCGCGAGCCUGAACCAGCCAAGUAGCGUGAAGGAUGACUGCCCUACGGGUUGUAAACUUCUUUUAUAAAGGAAUAAAGUGAGGCACGUGUGCCUUUUUGUAUGUACUUUAUGAAUAAGGAUCGGCUAACUCCGUGCCAGCAGCCGCGGUAAUACGGAGGAUCCGAGCGUUAUCCGGAUUUAUUGGGUUUAAAGGGAGCGUAGAUGGGUUGUUAAGUCAGUUGUGAAAGUUUGCGGCUCAACCGUAAAAUUGCAAUUGAUACUGGCAGCCUUGAGUACAGUUGAGGUAGGCGGAAUUCGUGGUGUAGCGGUGAAAUGCUUAGAUAUCACGAAGAACUCCGAUUGCGAAGGCAGCUUACUAAACUGCCACUGACAUUGAUGC